CACGUAUUUUUAAAACAUUCUAAUGAACAACCUUGCCUCUACACAAGAAUCUCUGCAUUCCUUACGGACAAAGUACAAUUGUUCUGCAGCUCUGCCGCUGUAUUCCACUGGUAAGAGCAAAACAAACAAUCUAAUAGGACUCGCUUGGCUGCACCACCGCUGUUUGUAAGACAGGCUGUGCAUUACUGGUACACAACCACCAGGCAGCUGGGCAGCACGUGGGAUCCCGGCCAGGCCACAGAGACAAGGGAAGCACAGCAUACGUGUGUCAUGGAACAUAAUCACUGCGUCACACGGCGUUUCUGAACAAGCAGCGCCUCACAUUCAUCUGCACCCUCACAUGCCCUUAACUCACGUUCAAAAGUACAAAGAGCCUCACGGCAGCUUGUGCCCACACCACGGCAUUUUGUGAGGCUCGGCUGCUCGUCCCGGGGCCCAGGGGAGCUGCCUCUGCUUAGACACCAACGCUCAAAAACUGCGUAAAUACAGGACUCGCCGGAUCCGUUCCACCACGAGACCCCCACCGCGCUGAGGGCGCACCGAAGCUCCCUGAGGGGACGAACCGGGCCCGCGGCCGCACCCCGGGAUCCGGCAACGGGAGGAAGCAGCGCCCGGCACGGCCCGGCCGCCGGCAGAGGGCAGCGGAGGGCAGCGCCGGAGCGGGGCCGGGCAGCGGGGUUGCGGAGUGGGGCCGAGGAGUAGUGCCUGGGCCGUUCCCUCCGCCGCCCCGACGGCAUCAGGACAGCGGCGUUAACGCCGCCGGAUUGCUUUGAACGAUCUGUUUUCAGACUUUUGGAGAGGAGAACUCUUGUCAUCGUCAGACCCACGUACUGCGUUAAAAAAAAAAAAAAAAACGGGUUUAGGAAAGUCAGCAUCAGCAAGGAAAGCGUUCCCCCCCGCAACCCUCAGCCUGAGGGCUGCAAGCAGCAGGGUUGGAGAAGGCCCUUUGCUCAGCAUGAUGCCCACAGUGCACUGCCGUCGGGCUCCCUGGCUGUCCCCCGGUGGGGUAAGCUCAUGGGGAU